rnacentral:rRNA from 1 species
UACGUAGGGCCAAGCGUUGUUCGGAUUUUAUGGGCGUAAAGGGCGCGGUGGCGGCUUGACAAGUUACUUGUGAAAUCUCCGGGCUUAACUCGGAACGGCCAAGUGAAACUGUCAUGCUAGAGUGCAGAAGGGGCAAUCGGAAUUCUUGGUGUAGCGGUGAAAUGCGUAGAUAUCAAGAGGAACACCUGAGGUGAAGACGGGUUGCUGGGCUGACACUGACGCUGAGGCGCGAAAGCCAGGGGAGCAAACGGG